rnacentral:rRNA from 1 species
UACGGAGGGUGCAAGCGUUAUCCGGAUUCACUGGGUUUAAAGGGUGCGUAGGUGGGUUGGUAAGUCAGUGGUGAAAUCUCCAGGCUUAACUUGGAAACUGCCAUUGAUACUAUUAAUCUUGAAUGCCGUGGAGGUCAGCGGAAUAUGUCAUGUAGCGGUGAAAUGCUUAGAUAUUGGGAAGAACACCGGUGGCGAAGGCGGCUCACUGGCUCGUUUCUGACGCUCAGGCGCGACAGCGUGGGGAUCAAACAGG